CCUACGGGUGGCAGCAGUGGGGAAUAUUGGACAAUGGGCGAAAGCCUGAUCCAGCCAUGCCGCGUGUGUGAAGAAGGCCUUCGGGUUGUAAAGCACUUUCAGUGGGGAAGAAAGCCUUGGGGCUAAUACCCUCGAGGAAGGACAUCACCCACAGAAGAAGCACCGGCUAACUCCGUGCCAGCAGCCGCGGUAAUACGGAGGGUGCGAGCGUUAAUCGGAAUUACUGGGCGUAAAGCGCGCGUAGGCGGUCUGAUAAGCCGGUUGUGAAAGCCCCGGGCUCAACCUGGGAACGGCAUCCGGAACUGUCAGGCUAGAGUGCAGGAGAGGAAGGUAGAAUUCCCGGUGUAGCGGUGAAAUGCGUAGAGAUCGGGAGGAAUACCGGUGGCGAAGGCGGCCGUCUGGACUGACACUGACGCUGAUGUGCGAAAGCGUGGGUAGCAAACAGGAUUAGAUACCCCUGUAGUC
rnacentral:rRNA from 1 species